CUGCAUAGGGUGUGACUAUCAGGAACCAUGGCUCACUGGAGCACCAUCUUUGGAGUCUAGCUAACACAGCAUCUUGGAUGCACUCCUAAGAGAAGACUACCUGAAAGGCGUGUACACUGGUCUAGCAGUUGAGAUCAGCUAGUGUUCCAUCUAUCUUCUGUCAUGUAUCUCUUCUAAGAUGUCUUGAUCGACUGACCCCAAAGCCAGAGGGUACCAGGUCAAAAAGCAAGAAAACAAACAAUACUGACAUUAGAGAGAAGCAAAGUUUCUAUAGAAAACCUAUUACACUGUGGUAUAAAUCAAGAUGAACCUGCAGACAUCUAUUUUAGUUUGGAAGUCUGGAAAAGUUCAAGAUUGGCCAUCUGCAGCUGGUGAGAGCCUCAGGCUGCUUCCCCUCAUGGUGGAAGGUGAAGGGGAGCUGGUGUGUGCAGAGAUUACAUGCUUUUCUAGGUCAUCAUUCUAGGCUUUGUUGAAGCAUGCAUUUUUGGCAUGAGGGUGGCAGCCUUUGCACUAUGUGCAUGGCUGAGGAGUUAGGAUCUGGAGGGUGAUGAAAGCAAAGGUGCUGCUGGUUACUCUUGGUUCAUCUAGCAAUAGAUGAUCUGAAUGUUAGAGUUCGCCAAAUAUUGUUCCUGGGCAGUCUUUGCUCUACCAAAUCAACUUUCUCCAUGGGGGAGCUAGAAGUCACCCCACAUUCUCCGCCAUGGCCAGCUCUACAUUCUAAGAGAUGACAAAGACACAAGGAGCCAAGACAGAUCAUUCAAGCAUAUUCAUUGCCUCUAUCUUCAUCCCAUUAAAUAACAUCCCGCCAACCAAAGCAAGUUAUCUGCAUAAGAAUAAAUAUUCCACCUACUCUACUGCAAGGCCCUGCAAGAGUCAUGAGACAAAAGGAUCCUCUGUGGACAGCACCCAAGAUGGAAACAACUGACAGUCUAUGGCCAGGGCUAUACUCUGGUGAAACUGAAAGGUGUCUGCAUGGAAGUGUCUGACUACCACCAUCCACUCAGGCAAAUGCAUUUGUUUCCCUCUAUUCAUUAUUAGAAGAGAGGAGAUUACAUACCAGACAUAUACCAAUAGGUUUUCUCUUCAUAAUACCUACGUCAUCUAGUAGCAUAACAUAAGGCAGAAUCCUUCAAAGGUUGACUCCUAGAGAUGGAAGAGCUGUAAGCAGAGACAGAAAAGUAUGUUUUCACACAAACUCUUUGGCUCAUUAGCAG
rnacentral:lncRNA from 1 species